AUUGGCUAAAUUUGUGCCAGCAGCUGCGGUUAAACAAAGAAUACAAAUAAAUUUUAUAAAUGUGAAAGUUAAAUUGAAUUUAUUUAAUUAAUAAAAAAAAAUUAGGUAAAAUUUUAUUUUUUUUUAAUUAAUAUAGAAAAUUAUAUUGAAUCUUGAAAAUUUUAUUUUUAAACUAGGAUUAGAUACCCUAUUAUUUAAUUAUUUAUUAAUAAAAAAUUAGAGUAGUAAUAGUUAUGGUCUUGAAACUCAAAAAAUUUGGCGGUAUUUUAGUCUAUUCAGAGGAACCUGUAAUAUAAUCGAUAAUCCACGAUGGAUCUUACUUAAUUUUGUAAUUUAAUUUGUAUAUCGCCGUUAUUUGAAAAUUUUAUAAGAAAAAUAAUUUUCUAAAAUUUUUAUUAAAAAAUAAAUCAGGUCAAGGUGCAGUUUAUAAUUAAGUUUUAUAUGGGUUACAAUAAAUUUAUUUAUACGAAUUAGAAAAUGAAAUAUUUUUAAGAAGGUGGAUUUGAUAGUAAAUUUUUAAAGAUAAAAAAAUUGAUUUUAGCUCUAAAAUAUGUACACAUCGCC
rnacentral:rRNA from 1 species